UAUGUAGCAAGGUUAAGUACUUAAGGUACGGAGCCGAAGGGAAACCGAGUCUGAAUAGGGCGACUAGUUGCAUGCCGUAGACCCGAAACCGGGUGACCUAUCCAUGGCCAGGUUGAAGCGAGGGUAAAACCUCGUGGAGGACCGAACCACGUUGCUGUUGAAAAAGCAUGGGAUGAGCUGUGGAUAGCGGAGAAAUUCCAAUCGAACCCGGAGAUAGCUGGUUCUCUCCGAAAUAGCUUUAGGGCUAGCGUCGAGUAUGAGUAGUGGAGGUAGAGCACUGAAUGGGCUAGGGGGCAUAGCGCUUACCGAACCUUAUCAAACUCCGAAUGCCACAUACUUUGAGCUCGGCAGUCAGACUACGAAUGAUAAGAUCCGUGGUCAAAAGGGAAACAGCCCAGAUCGUCAGCUAAGGUCCCAAAGUGUAAGUUAAGUGGGAAAGGAUGUGAGAUUUCUAAGACAACUAGGAUGUUGGCUUAGAAGCAGCCAUUCAUUAAAAGAGUGCGUAAUAGCUCACUAGUCGAGAGAUCUUGCGCCGAAAAUGUAACGGGGCUAAACUUACCA
rnacentral:rRNA from 1 species